ensembl:lncRNA
GUGGAUUCUUUACCAACUGAGCUAUCCUAGGUCUUUAAUCAUUUUUAAACAGAGACAUCACUUUGCUAUACAUUCCAUAGGCAAAAUGUCCAUACAGUCAAAGCUAGGGCUUUUCCAGUGGUCAUGUGUAGAUGUAAAAGUUGGACCAUAAAGAAAGCUGGGCACCAAAGAACUGAUGCUUUUGAAUUUUGGUGCUAGAGAAGACUCUUUAGAGUCUCUUUGAUUGCGAGGAGAUUAAGCCAGUCAAUCCCAAAGGAAAUCAACCCUGAAUAUUCAUUGGAAGGACUGAAGUUGAAGCUGAAGCUCCAAUACUUUGGCCACCUGAUGCAACAAGCUGAUUCACUGGAAAGACCUUGAUGCUGGGAAAGAUUGAGGGCAGGAGGAGAAGAGAGUGGCAUAGGAUGAGAUGGUUAUAUAGCUUCACUGACUCAAUGGACUUGAAUUUGAGCAAACUCCAGGAGAUAGUGAAGGACAGGGAAGCCUGGUGUGCUGAAGUCCAUGGGGUUGCAAAGAGUCAGACACGACUAAGUGACUCAACAACAAAAAAUGACCACAAGAAGUUCUUGAACCUUCCUGGAGAAUUUCAAGACCCCAACAGAUCUUCCAAGCACACCCUUCCUCAGAACAACUCCAUCCCUCAUCCCCUGCCUCUGCAGCUGCCUUCACAACCCUUAGAGAAGAUAAACUUGUAACCCAGGCUGGGAAAUUGAGCCUGACUCAUGCUGAGAAGUUGAGUAGUAUAAAGGGCAUCUAGUACUUUAAUUUACUGCUUCAGACUUCUCUGUGUCCUUACCAGAAGCUUAUUGCCACAGUCCUCCGGGCUCUUUCAACUCAAACCCUUUAUACACCUCGCUAGAAAUGUGUAACUACAAAAGUUCCAAACCAUUAGUUUAGAUUCUUUCCAGAUCCUUUCAGAAGGUCUGCCCUAAAGACAGUGACAUGCAGUAAAUUACCUCAAAGGGAACAUGCCGCAGAAUGCUUGCUGGAAAGAUGAUCUAGGACGGAAGAGACAAAACAAGGAGAGGCAUUUAAAAUCUGUCUGAAGUGCAUUUUACCCCUUUUAGCCCACGAAUGCCAUGAACACAAUGGUGAUACUAAUAUUGUUCCCAUUACCUCUAUACUGGAUUAACAAAUACCUCUUUUGUGGCUCUCCAGAGGGUCUGCCAUCUGUGGCUUCCAGAGGAUGUCUGAAAAGGGAGAGAAGCAUAUCACAGCUGCAAAGGAAAGCGCCUGCUGAUUUUAUAUACUCAAUCUGAGGCCUGCUGUAAACCCAGCCCUGCACGAUGCAUGAUGUGAAAUGCACAGUCAUAACAAAGCCCUCAUCUCUUCCUUCAAGAUGCUCACAAAUCAGGAUGUAAGGCCUGGCUCUUCUACAUGAUUGCAAGCCUUGGAC